rnacentral:lncRNA from 1 species
GGCAUGAAGACUCGCAUCCGAAUGGGCCAGUAUGAAUUUCCCAACCCAGAAUGGUCAGAAGUAUCAGAGGAAGUGAAGAUGCUCAUUCGGAAUCUGCUGAAAACAGAGCCCACCCAGAGAAUGACCAUCACCGAGUUUAUGAACCACCCUUGGAUCAUGGUAAGCUCGGCAGGCUGGGGAGCCUUGGGUGAGGGGCACCACUGGGUGAGAGGGGCUCCAGGUGGGGUGGGCGGCUUGCGGGGAGGGUGUCUUCAUGACAAGAACAGCGACCAGGCCACUUGGCUGACCAGGAGGAGAUGACCAGUGCCUUGGCCACAAUGCGCGUUGACUACGAGCAGAUCAAGAUAAAAAAGAUUGAAGAUGCAUCCAACCCUCUGCUGCUGAAGAGGCGGAAGAAAGCUCGGGCCCUGGAGGCUGCGGCUCUGGCCCACUGAGCCACCGCGCCCUCCUGCCCACGGGAGGACAAGCAAUAACUCUCUACAGGAAUAUAUUUUUUAAACGAAGAGACAGAACUGUCCACAUCUGCCUCCUCUCCUCCUCAGCUGCAUGGAGCCUGGAACUGCAUCAGUGACUGAAUUCUGCCUUGGUUCUGGCCACCCCAGAGUGGGAGAGGCUGGGAGGUUGGGAGGCUGUGGAGAGAAGUGAGCAAGGUGCUCUUGAACCUGUGCUCAUUUUGCAAUUUUAUCAGUAAUUUGACUUAGAGUUUUUACGAAACCUCUUUUGUUGUCCUUGCCCCACUCCUCUCCACCAGACGCCUUCCUCUCUGGAUACUGCAAAGGCUUGUGGUUUGUUAGAGGGUAUUUGUGGAAACUGUCAUAGGGAUUGUCCCUGUGUUGUCCCAUCUGCCCUCCCUGUUUCUCCACAACAGCCUGGGGUUGUCCCCGCUGGCUCACGCGUUCUGGGAGCUCAAGGCCACCUUGGAGGAGGAUGCCACGCACUUCCUCUCUCGGAGCCCUCAGACAUCUCCAGUGUGCCAGACAAAUAGGAGUGAGUGUAUGUGUGUGUGUGUGUGUGUGUGUGUGCACACGUGUGUAUGAGUGCGCAGAUCUGUGCCUGGGAUCGUGCAUUUGAGGGGCCAGGGGCAGGCAGGGCUGCAGAGGGAGACGGCCCUGCUGGGGCUUAGGAACCUUCUCCCUUCUUGGGUCUGCCCUGCCCAUACUGAGCCUGCCAAAGUGCCUGGGAAGCCCACCCAGAUUCUGAAACAGGCCCUCUGUGGCCUGUCUCUAUUAGCUGGGUUCCGGGAGGCAGAGAGGAGUGACCGGGCACUGGCACUGCGAUCAGGAAGACUGGACCCCCAGCCCCCAGGGCCCCCCUCCCCCCACUUAGUGCUGGUCCUAGGUCCUCUGAGGCACUCAUCUACUGAAUGACCUCUCUACUUCCCCUUCUUGCCAUUAUUAACCCAUUUUUGUUUAUUUUCCUUAAAUUUUUAGCCAUUUCUCCAUGGGCCACCGCCCAGCUCAUGUAGGUGAGCCUGGGCAGCUUCUGUUGGCAGAGCUUUUGCAUUUCCUGUGUUUGUCCUGGGUUCUGGGGCAUCAGCCAGCUACCCCUUGUGGGCAAAGGCAGGGCCACUUUUGAAGUCUUCCCUCAGAUUUCCAUUGUGUGGCCUGGUGGGUCAGGGGGAGUCUUUGCACCAAAGAUGUCCUGACUUUGCCCCCUUGCCCAUCAGCCAUUUGCCAUCACCCCAAACAACUCAGCUUCGGGGCCGGUGAGGGGAGGGGCCUCCCCCAGCACAGAUGAGGAGCAGCUGGGGUAGGCUGUCUGUGCCAUGGCCCCCCACUCCCCCUUCCCUUGGAGGGAGAGGUGGCAGGAAUACUUCACCUUUCCUCUCCCUCAGGGGCAGGUGGUGGAGGGGCGCCCAGGGUCGUCUUUGUGUAUGGGGGAAGGCGCUGGGUGCCUGCAGCGCCUCCCUUGUCUCAGAUGGUGUGUCCAGCACUCGAUUGUUGUAAACUGUUGUUUUGUAUGAGCGAAAUUGUCUUUACUAAACAGAUUUAAUAGUU